GAAAUGCGAUACUUGGUGUGAAUUGCAGAAUCCCGCGAAUCAUCGAGUUUUUGAACGCAAGUUGCGCCCGAAGCCAUUCGGCCGAGGGCACGUCUGCCUGGGUGUCACGCAUCGUUGCCCCCCUCCCAACUCCGGUUCGGGGCGGGGGCGGAAGUUGGCCUCCCGUGCGCGCCCGCGCGCGCGGUUAGCCCAAAAGCGAGUCCUCGGCGACGAGCGCCACGACAAUCGGUGGUUCUUCGACCCUCGUUCCCCGUCGUGCGCGCCCCGUCGCCCGAACGCGCUCUCGAGACCCUGACGCGUCGCCUCGGCGGCGCUCCCAACGCGACCCCAGGUCAGGCGGGACUACCCGCUGAGUUUAA
rnacentral:misc_RNA from 1 species